UUUUUUAUUGGUCGUCAUGAAAAAAAACAUAAGGGGUAACACUGUUGUUUUUUUAUUGGUCGUCAUGAAAAAAAACAUAAGGGGUAACACUGUUGUUUUUUUAUUGGUCGUCAUGAAAAAAAACAUAAGGGGUAACACUGUUGUUUUUUAUCGGUUGUCGUAAAAAAAACAUAAGGGGUAACACUGUCGGUUUUUAUUGGUUGUCAUAAAAAAAUCAUAAGGGGUAACACUGUUGUUUUUUUAUUGGUCGUCAUGAAAAAAAACAUAAGGGGUAACACUGUUGUUUUUUAUCAGUUGUCAUAAAAAAAAC
ensembl:lncRNA